rnacentral:rRNA from 1 species
UCUACGGGAGGCAGCAGUGGGGAAUAUUGCACAAUGGGGGAAACCCUGAUGCAGCAACGCCGCGUGGGUGAAGGAGCGUUUCGGCGCGUAAAGCCCUGUCAGCGGGGAAGAAGAAAGACGGUACCCGACCAAGAAGCCCCGGCUAACUACGUGCCAGCAGCCGCGGUAAUACGUAGGGGGCGAUCGUUAUCCGGAAUUAUUGGGUUUAAAGGGUGCGUAGGCGGUCUGUUAAGUCAGCGGUAAAAUUGCGGGGCUCAACCCCGUCGAGCCGUUGAAACUGGCAGACUUGAGUUGGCGAGAAGUACGCGGAAUGCGCGGUGUAGCGGUGAAAUGCAUAGAUAUCGCGCAGAACGCCGAUUGCGAAGGCAGCGUACCGGCGCCAGACUGACGCUGAGGCACGAAAGCGUGGGGAUCGAACAGGAUUAGAUACCCUAGUAGUC